AUAUAUAUAUAUAUAUAUAUAUAUAUAUGGUAUAGAGUUGUAAAACUAAAAAACUAAGUUGGGUCUAGAGACUUCUUUCUCUACCCAUCUUUCAUAACCACUUGGUCUGCUAAUCUAUGAGCAUUCUCUUCUUCUCUGUAAACAGAUAAGCCUUCUAUGCUUAUUCAUAGUCUUGGUUUCCUUGAAUUUUCAGCUUUGCCCAGGUCCCAACUUGGCUCCCCUGGCCUCUCACUACGUCAGUUCCUAACUGCCGGUUACACCAUUCUUUCUGGGCUUAUUUCCUGCUCUCUACAGGAAUCUGAUUCCCUGAGCUCAGAUUCAUGAGCCAGGCCAAACCACAGAGUAUUGGCAACCCUAAGGAUUAGCUGCCCUUGAUUCUGCCUAGUGGAGGCACCUCAUGCACAGUGUGUGCCCCUUGCACAGACACUCUGGAUGAGCCCAUUGCUCUCAGAAGGCAGGUGUGGGGUCCCUCUUACUAUUUCUCAAUAGGAUUCUUUUUUUUUUUCUAACUUGUGCUUUGGGAAAUACCAUUCACCUUGAAAUUCAGUGUAAGGAUAUUGUUGAGACAUUAUUUAUUGCACUAUACAGUGCCCUUUUUGUGAAAACCCUUGGCAUAAAUUCAUUUCUAGCUUUGGUAUUGGAAAUAAUUGUGCAAUUAUUCCUGAACCGGUUUGUUUUUAUCUUAUUAACUCUGGUGAAGUUAUUACUUCUUUUCCUAAAUUGGCUGUUGGGAUUUCACAAAUCUGUAGCCCAAACAAGGGAAGUUUAAAUGACUCUAUGGUAUACUUUUUAUUUUUAUUAUCAAUCUUACAUUGAGAUUCAUUUUCUGCUUUUGACUUGGUUUAUUCAUAUAUUUCUAAUUCAAAUCACAUUUUAUAUACCUCUGUAAGUUACUGUACAUCUUUACAGAAGCAAGAUAUAUAGGUAAAUUAUAUAAACUUUAACACACUCAGGGACAUGUUAAAGUUCCUGGCUAGUUUUUAGUUAAAUGUGACCUAAUUUUAAAGAAAGGAAGAACUAAUUUGAGAAUAUUAAUAUAUCACAUUUUUCUAUAUUUAUGUAAUUUUAAAACCAUCCAGAUGUGCUUUUUUUCUAAAAUAUAAAAAUCCCUUUGGGCUUAGAAGUAUCUUUCAAAUAAAGUUUGAGAUAGAAAAGAUCCUAUUACACAUUAAUCUGCUUUUGGCGCUCAUUAACUCUUUGUAACAUCGUUUUUGAGAAGGUAGAUGCGUAAUAAAAUUAAUACACGUUUAAAAUUGUUUUCCCGUGAACCCUGUUUCAAAACAGCAGCCUCUACCCUCCAACAAUAACAUAUUCCUAAAAUUAUUUCCUUUUUCUCCCAGACUUUACUUCUCAACUACUCCUUUAAAAAAAGAAAAGAAAAGAAAAAGAAACUGACAUCAAUUUUAUAUAAAAGAAGCCCUUGAGGUGGAAAGUGAGGGAAGGCUGCAUGAGUUUAUAGCAGACAAAAUGUCGCUUACAUUUUGCUGUUCAGUAGUUUGAUAUACUCAUUUGCUGAUGUGAAAUGACGAGGGCUUACAAAACAGGGUUUUGUUUUUUAGCUGCCUGUAGACCUGGUGGGGCCUAACAGAACCCAGUCAGCAGGUCAUUAACUCUGGAGAAAACAGCUUGCAUUAAUAUGCUCUAAUCCGGUAUAAUUAGUCAAAUUACUGCACGCCGACCAGCUUGUCAUGUGUUGUCAGACUUGGCAUGCACGCUGGAUUGCCUGGGUCCCUCUGGAAUGCCACCCUCAAUCAGGGAAAGCUGCUCAUUUGUAGUGGUCUUGAACUCUUGAUAGAAAAGCUAACUAAAACAGCGGUCGUGGAGGAACUUUUAUUAAUUCUUUGAGUUAAAAUAUUUUUUCAUCAAAAGUAAUUUAACGUUUUGGUGAUUGAAAUGGCAUCUUUUCAUUUCUCCUGUUUUCUGUGGCAUGUCUAUGUAAUACUCAAGUGAAAUUAACAUUCGUAGCGGAAAAAAAAAAAAGAUUCGAAAUAAAGUAAUUAUCAGUUGGUCAGCUCUAGUUCCAGUAUAUGAGAGUGUGAGUUCGUAUGUGUUUGUGUGUGUGCGGGUCUUUUUCCAGUAGGGUAAGAGGUUAUUAAACUCCAAAAGGGCUAUAUUAGCAUAAAUUUACAAGAGCUCUUGUUCUGGCGGCAGGAUAAAAACCUGUGUUACCUUUGCAUUAACACUGAAUUGCUUGUUGUGCUUUUGGCAAUGACAGAUAAGUCAGUGUAAUUCCCCAUUGCAACGGAAAUGAUGCUCCAGAUUCUAAACGCAUCCUGAAGAUGUCACUGACAAUAAUCUUCAAAGAACGGCCAGUGAAAGUGGGCUGUAUGUUUGUAGGAUGAUAUACUGCAAAUGACAGGAAGAAUUAUGUGAGUGAAGACGAAUCUGUAACAUAUUAUUAAGCAAUUUCACGAGAAUAACAGGGAUAAAAGGAUAAUGGAUGAGGGUGUCAUUAUUACCUUCAUGUAGAGGGAAAGCAAAAGCAAAGGUAGAGAGACAAGAUUAAUUGAGGUAGGGUGAAGCAUUCAUUGCUCAUCAGCUCUUUUGUACGCUUUGCUCCUGAAAUUCCAGACUGGGUGGGGGCGGGGGGGUGGGGGAGAAAGGUGCUCAGAGCUGCAUUUUAAUGCAGCUGGCAAGGAGGAGGAAACUGACAAGGCACUUUUUAGUCCCCUCCCCUCUUAUCAAAAAACACAAAAUCACUAUCACCUUUUGAAUGUUCUGAAGCCACGACAAAAAUCCAGCAGAACUGUUUUUCUUCUUUUGGUGGUGGUUUUCAUUAUUAGUCACACCUUAAAAAAGAAAACUUACAAAAUUUUUAAAUGCAUUUUUCCACGUAUUGCCCCCAAAACUUGCUCUUUGAAAUUUAGAGAUUUCGCAUUCAGUGAUGAAGCAUUUCACAAUCCAUUAGAUUAUUAUUUUGGUUAUCCUAAAAUCAUUAGGUUAAGGAAACAAAGCAUUUUAUGAUCAAUUUUGACUGUGCCUUUCGUAUUCUGAGCACAUUUCCCUUGCAUAUAAUAUGUUUUUCUUAGGUAGUAGUAAAUGUGCUUACCUUCAUUAAAUGAAGGUGUGAUUAAAAAUUUUAAAUACUAAAGUCUUCCUCUAUCAUCUGUUUUUUGUAACUUCUCAUCUGGCCAAUUAUUCCAAAGCUACAUUAUAUCCCACGCAGUUAAGGUGCAAUUAUAGUAUAGCAACCACUGUCCUUCUGGUUGCAAAACAGUAGCACAGGUGUUUUGCUGGAAUCUAAGAAACCUUUUGGGACAUGAAUUCCCCUCCUGAUUGUAAUUUACACCUCCUACUGAGUUAACCUUCGAUGUUGCAGAAACUUCAAAAAUAUUUGUGUGUGUGUGUGUGUGUCCUAUAGGAAGGUCAGAUGAUCAAGGUACAUGCUUAAAUCUGUAUCCAGUGGAGGUACUCAGAGUUGAAGACUACUUGUCUACAUAAUGGGUUCAUAUAUUCAGGAAAGGUAACAAAGGGUCGGGAUUCGGGUGUCAGUGAGAAUUGAGAAUUUUUCAGCGUUAAUAUGCAGCUAGCAACCAGCAGUUUAAUGUAUACAUACAUAUAAAGACAUGCAAAGCAGUGCUGUUAUCAAAUGCUAGACGUAUAUACUAUCCAGUAAUACUAAGUUUUUAUUGUAUAGUAAUUUUCAAACUGUGUUCUAUACACCUCUUCAUAUUUGAUCCUUGAAUGGUCAUUUUGGAUGAGCAGAACUAGAAUUCCUAUUUCAGCUCUUCAAAUGGGAAAACUGAGGGGCAGAAAAUUAAGUGAGUUUGUCCAAGUAAUUCCAUCUGCUACGAAUAAUACCGACAUCUUCAGACACCUGAUCCAGUGUUCUUUCCAUUCGCUAUUUGAUUUUUAAAUUUGUUAUUCAUGCCACACUCUGAUCUUUGAUAUUUUACUACUUUUCACGUAUGUCUUUCUGCCUUAAAUGUUUCUUCACUAAGAGAGCGUCCUGUGCCUUGUGUUUUCCAUGGACUGAGAAACAGAAACUAACAUUUCUCAUGUUCGUGAUGUGUACCAGACGUGGUAUUAGACACUACACGUUAUACAUUAUCUAAGUUAAUAUUCACAAACAGCCAAGGAAGUUAGAUAUCGUAUCACUUAACUAAAGAGGAAACUAAAAUUCAGACAUGUCAAGCCACUUGUCGAAGCUCACAACCAGGCAAUGUCAGGGAUUCACAUCUACAUUUUCCUGGCUCCAAAGCUCGUGGUCUUUCAAACACCAUCCAGCCGUUUUCUCUUGUCUGUACUAUAUGGUAUAUGUGCAAUCAAAAGUUUACUGUCUUUUUGCAUUGAUCCCAUAUUUUAGGUCUCCGAGUGUCUACAUUCCGUGGCUUUUUUUCCAUCCUGGCAUUCCCUGAUUUCUGCAUAGCAUUUGACACUGAGUUUCCAAAAUCCCCAAUAGCUAUGCCACUAAUUCACUGGCCCUGAAGUCUUUUUCACCGGCUGUUCUUCCUUCUGCUGUGCCCUCUUGAUAUAGAUUCUCCCAUUCUCAAAGGUGUGUUUUUUCCACCUCCUGGAUUCUCUGCCACAGAGAUCGAAUCUCUUGCCAUGCCUUCAGCUUUCUCUCUGUAUACAUGAUGCCAAACAUCUUGCAAUCACGCCUUCUCUGCACAGCUCCAUUUUCUUAGCUACCUGCUCUGCUGAACAGCCCUCUGAGGAUGCUUUGUGGCCUCAAACCAAACUCAGCAUUUUCCUUUUCUUCUCAAAUUUCCUCUUCCUUAUUUUAAAAGAGACCAUGUUCUUCUCAUCAUCCAGGCCUUCUUGCCAAUUUGAAUUAGUUAGAAGUUUUUUAACCUGACAUUAAAAUCUCUCCUUCCUCUUUAGACUGCUGGAGU